UGGGGUUUUAGCUCAGUGGUAGAGUGCUUGCCUAGCACACAUGAGACCCUGGGUUCAAUCCUCAGCACCACAU
rnacentral:tRNA from 1 species